UGAGGAUGAUGGUUUUGAUAGUGAUAGC
rnacentral:piRNA from 1 species